CGAACGAUGAAGCCCUUCGGGGUGGAUUAGUGGCGAACGGGUGAGUAACACGUGGGCAAUCUGCCCUUCACUCUGGGACAAGCCCUGGAAACGGGGUCUAAUACCGGAUAACACCGGCUUCCGCAUGGGGGCUGGUUGAAAGCUCCGGCGGUGAAGGAUGAGCCCGCGGCCUAUCAGCUUGUUGGUGGGGUAAUGGCCUACCAAGGCGACGACGGGUAGCCGGCCUGAGAGGGCGACCGGCCACACUGGGACUGAGACACGGCCCAGACUCCUACGGGAGGCAGCAGUGGGGAAUAUUGCACAAUGGGCGAAAGCCUGAUGCAGCGACGCCGCGUGAGGGAUGACGGCCUUCGGGUUGUAAACCUCUUUCAGCAGGGAAGAAGCGAAAGUGACGGUACCUGCAGAAGAAGCGCCGGCUAACUACGUGCCAGCAGCCGCGGUAAUACGGAGGGUGCAAGCGU
rnacentral:rRNA from 1 species